rnacentral:lncRNA from 1 species
UACCCAAAAUACAUACUUUUACGGACUGGGAUGACUCUGGGACAGAGGUCUCCACACCUGAUGAUGGGCAUACUGCUGAGUGAGAAGGAGAUCCCAGCAUGCCUGUAUGUCUUGGCUCUGCAGGUUACAGGGAUGUUGAGAGACAGCUGAGCUAUCGUGGACGGUUCUGAUUUGUGGGGUUCCUUGAGGCAGGCAACUUCCCCGAUGUGCAUGAGCUCUAGGACGAUAACUGGAAUGGAGACAAGUGUUACGAAUGGCUUUGGUGCUCGGCUCUAGUUCUUCCAGAAGAUGAAACGGGACGAGGCUUCAACCAAGUAUGGAGGACCCUCGCUU